rnacentral:rRNA from 1 species
UACAGAGGGUGCGAGCGUUGUUCGGAAUUAUUGGGCGUAAAGGGCGCGUAGGCGGUGCGGUAAGUCACCUGUGAAAUCUCCCGGCUCAACCGGGAGCUUGCAGGCGAAGCUGCCGUGCUGGAGUGUGGGAGAGGUGCGUGGAAUUCCCGGUGUAGCGGUGAAAUGCGUAGAUAUCAAGUGGAACACCAGUGGCGAAGGCGAGUCCCUGGACAACUCCUGACACUGAGGCACGAAAGCUAGGGGAGCAAACAGG